rnacentral:ncRNA from 2 species
ACCUCAUCCAGAGGGGCAGAGGGAACGGCCCGAUGAAGCCCCGGCAACCACCGCUUUCGUGAUGCGGCAGGUGCUAAUUCCGUCCUCCGCGGCAGGUCGCCGCCGGGGAAAGAUGAGAG